rnacentral:rRNA from 1 species
UACGUAGGGGGCUAGCGUUGUCCGGAUUUAUUGGGCGUAAAGCGUGCGUAGGCGGUUCGUUAAGUUCGUUGUGAAAGCCCCGGGCUCAACCUGGGAAUGGCAAUGGAAACUGGCGGGCUGGAGUAUGGCAGAGGGGGGUGGAAUUCCGCGUGUAGCAGUGAAAUGCGUAGAGAUGCGGAGGAACACCGAUGGCGAAGGCAGCCCCCUGGGCCAAUACUGACGCUCAGGCACGAAAGCGUGGGGAGCAAACAGG